UACGUAGGGCGCAAGCGUUGUCCGGAAUUAUUGGGCGUAAAGAGCUUGUAGGUGGUUUGUCGCGUCUGCUGUGAAAAUCCGAGGCUCAACCUCGGACUUGCAGUGGGUACGGGCAGACUAGAGUGUGGUAGGGGGAGACUGGAAUUCCUGGUGUAGCGGUGGAAUGCGCAGAUAUCAGGAGGAACACCGAUGGCGAAGGCAGGUCUCUGGGCCAUUACUGACACUGAGAAGCGAAAGCAUGGGGAGCGAACAGG
rnacentral:rRNA from 1 species